rnacentral:rRNA from 1 species
GUGGGGAAUAUUGGGCAAUGGGCGAAAGCCUGACCCAGCAACGCCGCGUGAAGGAAGAAGGUUUUCGGAUCGUAAACUUCUAUCCUUGGUGAAGAUAAUGACGGUAGCCAAGAAGGAAGCCCCGGCUAACUACGUGCCAGCAGCCGCGGUAAUACGUAGGGGGCAAGCGUUGUCCGGAAUGAUUGGGCGUAAAGGGCGCGUAGGCGGCCUGGUAAGUCUGGAGUGAAAGUCCUGCUUUUAAGGUGGGAAUUGCUUUGGAUACUGUCGGGCUUGAGUGCAGGAGAGGUAAGCGGAAUUCCCGGUGUAGCGGUGAAAUGCGUAGAGAUCGGGAGGAACACCAGUGGCGAAGGCGGCUUACUGGACUGUAACUGACGCUGAGGCGCGAAAGUGUGGGGAGCAAACAGGAUUAGAAACCCCAGUAGUCC